rnacentral:tRNA from 1 species
AUUCUUGUAGUUGAAUACAACGGUGGUUUUUCAAGUCAUUGGUCCUGGUUGAAGUCCUGGCAAGAAUU